rnacentral:rRNA from 1 species
GACGUAGGGUGCGAGCGUUGUCCGGAUUUAUUGGGCGUAAAGAGCUCGUAGGCGGCUCGUCGCGUCGACCGUGAAAACCCGCGGCUUAACUGCGGGCUUGCGGUUGAUACGGGCGGGCUAGAGUUCGGUAGGGGAGACUGGAAUUCCUGGUGUAGCGGUGAAAUGCGCAGAUAUCAGGAGGAACACCUGUGGCGAAGGCGGGUCUCUGGGCCGAUACUGACGCUGAGGAGCGAAAGCGUGGGGAGCGAACAGG